UACGAAGGGGGCUAGCGUUGUUCGGAUUUACUGGGCGUAAAGCGCACGUAGGCGGAUCGAUCAGUCAGGAGUGAAAUCCCAGAGCUCAACUCUGGAACUGCCUUUGAUACUGUCGAUCUGGAGUAUGGAAGAGGUGAGUGGAAUUCCGAGUGUAGAGGUGAAAUUCGUAGAUAUUCGGAGGAACACCAGUGGCGAAGGCGGCUCACUGGUCCAUUACUGACGCUGAGGUGCGAAAGGCGUGGGGAGCAAACAGG
rnacentral:rRNA from 1 species